GCAUUUCAUAAGUGGAAACAGAAUCAUGAAGGUGGUUUUCCCAGGGCAAGGCUUAUCGAGCUGUGCUGACCCCUGCAAUUUCCCCCAAAUGUGGGAAACUUGCUGCAUAAUUUGUGGUAGUAUGGGACUGCAUUUGCACAUUCCCCUG
rnacentral:snRNA from 1 species